UACAGAGGGGGGCAAGCGUUGUUCGGAAUUACUGGGCGUAAAGAGCGCGCAGGCGGCUUGGCAAGUCGGGUGUGAAAUCCCGGGGCUCAACCCCGUGACUGCAUCCGAUACUGUCAGGCUAGAGGUAGGUAGGGGAGAUCGGAAUUCCUGGUGUAGCGGUGAAAUGCGCAGAUAUCAGGAGGAACACCGGUGGCGAAGGCGGAUCUCUGGGCCAUUACUGACGCUGAGGAGCGAAAGCGUGGGGAGCGAACAGG
rnacentral:rRNA from 1 species